CUGGGACACAGAGGGGGCUCCGAGACCGGGAUUGAUUCGGGGAAAUGGACCAAAACGAUGUAAUUUUCCCUUGUUACAAAGUCAAGUUUGACCAACUGCUUCUCACAAACACCAGCUGGUACAGAGGACAUGCUAGGCUAGAAACACACCCCUGCACUUCUACAUCAUCGUAACAACGAGCAAAAGUUAGAGAGCCAACACCACAGUCACUUUCUGUGUCACAGAUUAAAAAGCAAAUCUCCCUCAGUCAGAAUGAGAGGGUCAGAAUCCACUGCUACUUCACAUGUCGUUGCAGACACUGAAUCCCACACUGGCCCGUCACAGAGAUAUUAAACAAAAAUGUUUGACUGUUGCAUAAACUACCCAAUCAGUGACUGUUCUUUCCCCCAUCCUUCAUUGCUGCCGCCGUCAGUCGAGAAAGAACGGGCUCCGAGGCCGCUUUCCCUUAUUCUGUAUCUGAGAGUGAGCGGCGCUAUGGCUGAGGAAAAGAAAGCACAGCAAGCCUCCAAGAAGGGCGCGAAGAAAGCGGUGAAGAGGGCGCCAGCG